GGCAGCGGCUGGGCCGGCACAGCGGCGCCUUUUCGUGGCUAUAUUUUCCCCGCCGUGUCUGUUUCUUUUUAAAGCCCCAGAGUAAGGGGAUGACAGAGGAGUGAAAAGAGCAACGUCCUAGGACGGGGGGAGGCGGCCGCGCUCCAGGGGCGCGGGUUCGCCCCACUCACAGAAAUGGCUCCCGCCGCCCCCUCCUCCCUGACAGGCGAAACACAACCCGGGCGCUCCCCCCGCGCUCCUGCGGCCGGGGCCGGAUUUGUCGUGAGGGGCCAGUGCUGGGAGCGCACGGAGGGGCCGUGAGGUGAUGGGGGGAAGAUGGAGGCGCCUGUGAGGGCUCCCCUCACCCCCGCCCCGCUCGGACCCGGCGGUGCAGGCCCGCGGGCCCGGGGCCGAAUCGUGCAGGCUUGUCCCGGGGCGCUCAGGGUGCAUCAUUCCUGGAAGGGAUGAAGGAGUAUUGGGGAGUAUUUCUAGGAGGCGGGCUGGGUGGUCCUUGGGGCGCUGCCGAAAGCGCAGUGCUGUGAUACACUGCAGGUCGCAGUACAGCGACGUUCACAAAAAAAGCCUGUCAAGACUGAUUUAAAGAUACGUGAACCUUGAUAGAUGCUCUGUGUCCUGACUGAUGAGAGCCAGCCACUCUGUCCUUCCCCACCCAAGUGACACUUUUGGACAUCAGGACAAACACACUGUGCUGUGCAGAGCUGUUGUGCCCAGGAACAGCUGCCUGUGUUUUCCUGGGAUCCACCAACACAAGCAAGCAUGGACAUGGACUAGUGCAUGGACAGGACAAGAUGCAGGUGAUCCUUUUACUUUAGAUAAGAAGAGUUGUGGCAUUGCUGGUGCCACUCCAGG
rnacentral:lncRNA from 1 species